CAGUCGCCGCGGUAAUACGGAGGGGGCUAGCGUUGUUCGGAAUUACUGGGCGUAAAGCGCACGUAGGCGGCUUUGUAAGUUAGAGGUGAAAGCCUGGGGCUCAACUCCAGAAUUGCCUUUAAGACUGCAUCGCUUGAACGUCGGAGAGGUGAGUGGAAUUCCGAGUGUAGAGGUGAAAUUCGUAGAUAUUCGGAAGAACACCAGUGGCGAAGGCGGCUCACUGGACGACUGUUGACGCUGAGGUGCGAAAGCGUGGGGAGCAAACAGGAUUAGAUACCCCUGUAGUCCCUGUCUCUUAUAA
rnacentral:rRNA from 1 species